CCCCCCUGCCCCAAACAACGCAUCCCCCCCACCCACCCCCCCGUUUCCCAUUGCAGUGAGCUGGAUUACUACGACUCCCCCAGCGUCAACGCGCGGUGCCAGAAGAUCUGCGACCAGUGGGACGUGCUGGGCUCCCUGACCCACAGCCGCAGGGAAGCCCUGGAGAAAACGGAGAAGCAGCUGGAAACCAUCGAUGAGCUGCACCUGGAAUACGCCAAGAGGGCAGCGCCCUUCAACAACUGGAUGGAGAGCGCCAUGGAGGACCUGCAGGACAUGUUCAUCGUGCACACCAUCGAGGAGAUCGAGGUGGGGGGGGGGUCUCAAAUGGGGGGGCAGGUCGUAGAGUCGUAGGAUCAUAGAAUCACCGAGGUUGGAAAGGACCUAAAAGCUCAUCCGGUCCAACCGUUCCCCUGUAUUCCCAAUAGCUCCCACUAAAGCACGUCCCUCAACACCACAGCCAGUCUGUGUAGCCCUGUGGGUUCCCAUGUAUCCCUAUGGGUCUCCCAUGUAUCCCUAUGGGUCCCCUAUGGGUCCCCCAUGUAUCCCUAUGGGUCCCCCAUGUAUCCCUAUGGGUCCCCUCUGGGUCCCCAUGUAUCCCUAUAGAUCCCCCAUGUAUCCCUAUGGGGUCCCUAUGGGUCCCCCAUGUAUCCCUGUGGGUCCCCAUGCAUCCCUGUGGUCCCCCAUGUAUCCCUAUGUGUCCCCCUGUAUCCCUCUGGUCCCCCAUGUAUCCCUAUAGAUCCCCCAUGCAUCCCUGUGGGUCCCCAUGCAUCCCUACGGUCCCCCAUGCAUCCCUAGGGGUUCCCCACGUAUUCUAUGGGUCCCCAUGUAUCCCUAUAGGUUCCCUAUGUAUCCCUAUAGUCCCCCACGUAUCCCUGUGGGUCCCCAUGCAUCCUUGGGGGGGGUCCCCAUGCAUCCCUGUGGUCCCUCGUGUAUCCCUGUGGGUCCCCACGCAUCCCUAUGGUCCCCCAUGCAUCCCUGUGGGUUCCCCAUGCAUCCCUGUGGGUCCCCUAUGUAUCCCUGUGGGUUCCCCACGUAUUCUAUGGGUCCCCAUGCAUCCCUAUGGGUCCCCCACGCACCCCUGUGGGUCCCUCCAGCCACCCAGCAUCACCUGGGGUCUGGUUGCAGCCAGAACGCAGGACCCAGCAUUUGUUCUGGGUGAACCUCAUCCCAUUGGCUUCAGCCCAGCUCUCCAGAUCCCAUAUGGCAGAUCCAACCCUUCGGUGUCACCUCCAAAUUUACUCAGUGCCCCCACAUCCAGCCCAUCCAUAAAGAUAUCAAACAGGACAGGUGCCAGCAUCCCCAUCAGCUGGCUUCAACUCCACUCACCACCCCUUUCUGAUCCCAGCUCCUUCCCCAUCCAGAUCCAACACUUCCAGCCAAUUCAGCAUCACCUCCAAAUUUACUCAGGGUGCCCCCAAUUUACUCAGGGUGCCCCCACAUCCAGCCCAUCCAUACAGAUAUCAAACAGGACAGGACCCAGCAUCCCCACCAGCUGGAUUUCACUCCAUUCACCACCACUCUCUGAUCCCAGCUCCUCCCCAUCCAGAUCCAACACUUCCAGCCAAUUCAGCAUCACCUCCAAUUCAGCAUCACCUCCAAAUUUACUCAGGGUGCCCCCAAUUUACUCAGGGUGCACUUGAUGCCCCCACAUCCAGCCCAUCAGUAAAGAUAUCAAACAGGACA
rnacentral:lncRNA from 1 species